rnacentral:sRNA from 1 species
CUGCCCUACUUGAUUGAUGGGACUCACAAGAUCACCCAGAGCAACGCCAUCCUGCGGUACAUUGCCCGCAAGCACAACCUGUGCGGGGAAUCAGAAAAGGAGCAGAUUCGCGAAGACAUUUUGGAGAACCAGUUUAUGCAGCUGGCCAAACUCUGCUAUGACCCAGAUUUUGUAAGUCCCCCCAAGUCCCCCCCACCCCACUCCCAGUCUCCCCUACCCUACUCCCAGUCUCCCUUUUCCCUGCAGAGUUUGUGUCCAAAAUUGAUUCCUUCUGGUGAGUUCUUGGUCUUGCUGACUCUAAGAAUGAAGCCGCGGUCCUACACGGUGAGUGUUACAGUUCUUAAAGAUGGUGUAUCCGGAGUUUGUUCCUUCAGAUGUUCAGAUGUGUCCGCAGUUUCUUCCUUCCGGUGGGUUUGUGGUCUUGCUGACUUCAGGGGUGAAGCCGCAGACCUUCGCAGUGAGUGCUACAGCUCUUAAAGGUGGCGCGUCUGGAGUUGUUUAUUCCUCUUGGUGGGUUCAUGGUCUGGCUGGCUUCAGGAGUGAAGCUGCAGACCUUCAUAGUGAAUGUUAUAGCUCAUAAAGGUAGUUCAAACCCAAAGAGUGAGCAACAGCAGGAUUUAUGGUGAAGAGUGAAAGAAAAUACACUUCCACAGCCUGGAAGACAACCUGAGCAGGUUGCUGCUGCUGCUUGGGAAGUGCGGAGGUGGGGA